CACGUAGGCACCAAGCGUUGUCCGGAUUUAUUGGGCGUAAAGAGCUCGUAGGCGGCUUGGCAAGUCGGGUGUGAAAACUGGAGGCUCAACCUUCAGAGGUCGACCGAAACCAUCUGGCUAGAGUCCGGGAGAGGAGAGUGGAAUUCCUGGUGUAGCGGUGAAAUGCGCAGAUAUCAGGAAGAACACCCGUGGCGAAAGCGGCUCUCUGGAACGGUACUGACGCUGAGACGCGAAAGCGUGGGGAGCGAACAGG
rnacentral:rRNA from 1 species